rnacentral:tRNA from 1 species
UGGGACGUGGUGUAAUGGUAACACAUCAGACUUUGACUCUGAUAUCGUGGGUUCGAAUCCCGCCGUCCCAGCCA